GAUGAACGCUGGCGGCGUGCUUAACACAUGCAAGUCGAACGAUGAGGCCCGGCUUUCUGGGUGAGUUAGUGGCGAACGGGUGAGUAACACGGGAGUAACCUGCCCUUGACUAUGGGAUAAGACUCGGAAACUGGGUCUAAUACCGGAUACAACCCUCUAGCGAGUGUCAUGGUGGUGGAAAGCUUUUGUGGUUUUGGAUGGACUCGCGGCAUAUCAGCUUGUUGGUGGGGUAAUUGCCUACAAAGGCGAGGACGGGUAGCCGGCCUGAGAGGGUGACCGGCGACACUGGGACUGAGACAGGGCCCAGACUCCUACGGGAGGCAGCAGUGGGGAAUAUUGCGCAAUGGGCGCAAGCCUGAGGCAGCGACGCCGCGUGAGGGAUGACGGCCUUCGGGGUGUAAACCGCUUCCAGUAGGGAAGAAGCGAAAGUGACGGUACCUGCAGAAGAAGCGCCGGCUAACUACGGG
rnacentral:rRNA from 1 species